rnacentral:tRNA from 1 species
GAGGGUGUAGCUCAGUGGUAGAGCACAUGCUCAUUAGCAUGCACGAGGUCCUGGGUUCAAUCCCCAGUACCUCCU